UUUUUAAUAAGUUUUGAACCUACCUUUGAUUGGUUCUGUUUUAGUCAUCUGGUACUUUUUUACUGUUGAGAGCAUCCUGUUUCCAUGUUGGUCUUGAAAAAGAACGGGAUUUAGGAUAUGUCAAACGUGCAGCGUUUUACUGCAUAUCAUUUGGGAAAUCAAUAAUGCCAACAAAGAAUUAAAUGGAAACCAAACAGCAUUUGUGGUGUAUGAAAGAAUGAUGGAGAGUUCGUCCCCAAUGUGUUUGUUAUAAUUUGAAGAAACAUUAUUUUACCUUCCUGGUUAAUGUCAUCAAAUUAACCUGAAAUUAUAUUAGCAGCAAUUGUCAGUGUUUAUAUCAGGUACAAGAGGGACAAUGCAUGGGUUGUCUUUCAUAAAAGGUGGUCCUGUGUACCUUGGAAAAUGCACCAUAACAACAUCUGGUUGACAAAGAGGUGGUUUGUUACCAUUACAGUAUAUAAUGUCAACUAUGGUCCCAAUGGAGCCAUUGAACAAACCAUAGGGAACAUUAAGAUUGCAGAUUUGCACUGUUACCUGUGGGACAAAGGACUUGGACAGAAUCAUGAGAAUGGAACAAGUGUCUUAUUGCCUGUACAAGACAUUUAAUGAGGAACGACUUGCCAGAGCCAGCAGUUCCACUGACCACUAGUCGAAGAGGUGUAUAUGGCCGUGACAAAUAUUUAUCCAGAGGUGUACUUUUUGUGCAAGUGUUGCCAGUUUUUUCAAGUACCCUGGACCCAGACAUGCUUACUGACUGAAACUGGUGACUGCUGUGAAACAAAGAUUCAGGUGGUGCGGGUGCAUUUCCCUCGGGAGGAGGCCACAGAUCCUUGUUUGGAUUACCAGAGGCAUCAGAACCGGCAGGAUGCAUUGCGGUCAUUGCAAAAUUUUGCUGUGCCCACUCAGAGAGCUUACUGGCACAGACAUCUUCAUCCAGACCGUUUUUCAAAGCCUCAUGAAGAAGAUUGUGUGGUUCUCUGUCAGAUCUCCAACAUAGUCCAUGAAAGUGAAUCAUGCCUCUGGAUUUGGCAAACUCAUACCUGUACCAGAAAGUAUCAACCUUAAAUGCAGUUUUCAUUACAGUUUCAAAGUAUUCUUGUGUCCGAAGAUUAAAGUAAUGUGAGACAAUGUGACUGUUAUUUUGAAGAAUAGAAAAUAGAAUUUUUUUGUCGUUAAGAUCAACAAUUUCACCAGUUGUUUGUAGAUUGUAUUGAGUUAAAAGUCUCCUUAGUGGUGCAAAGUAAAAUUCAGCACAGCUAGCAGUGCUGAAAAAUGAAGGAAGGCCUUUUCCAGCAUUUAUUUGGUACUGAAUAAGUGCUCUUAACUCUUGUGCUCUUCUGGACCAGUAUUGUGAAGUUCCUCGAAGAGAAGCACCAAAGUACAAGAUUUUUUGUGCAAUAGAACUAUCACCAUUUUGAAUUCUUUGCUUAAGGUCAUCGAUGGACAUGUGCUCAUCACCGAUCUGUUGUUUCAUGAUGUAUGUGCUCUGUUCUAAAGCUCUUUUACGUGAAAUAAUGUUAUGAACUAUGAACUGAAAGUACUUGUGUUGUGCAAAACGACCGUCUGUGUACCAUAUCAAAUGUUCUGCCCAUUCACUCAUUGAAAAGCAAGUUCUUGGCCGAUUUAUGUGAAAGUCACCAACACAAUUGGGAAACAAACAUGGAAAUGCAAGAGUAAAAAAAUAUUGAGUUGUAAACUCUGAAACUGGACUAUUGUCUCUUGUUGGCCAUGGAAUAGUUACUGUUUUUUUUCUCGAACAUUUUUCUUUACUUUUAGGAUCUGUAAUUUCUUGUAAAAUGGAUUCAAUGUUAUUUCUAAUAUUAACUGAUUCGUCUGGUAGUUGAACAGCUGAAACGGUAUCGCCAUUUAUUUCAUCAGGUGAUACUUGUUCUUUAGCUGGCCCUUGGUCUUUAUCAGUUGUGCUUUCAAAAUUACUUUUGAUUGUUUCAAGAUUUAUUUCCCCAUUUUCAGGAAGAAGAUUAAGUCUAUCUUGACUAAUAGUUAUAUCUGAGUAGGCCACAUUGUUGGAUUUAAGCCAAUUCAGUGCUGAUUGAACUGCAAAACGCCUAACUUUAAAGUCUUUGUGUAUUGCAUUAUUUCCAGUUUUACGGACACAAAUUAUCUGAAUAUCUGUUGGAAGUUUCGGUAAAAUUUGACAUGGUUCAUUUAUAUUUUGUGGAAAUGUAACACAAUGGCCAUUUGCAGCAAUUCCACCAUGCUUAAGCAUAUGAAUAUACAUGAGUGGUGAUAUUCUGCUUAUUAGUUGCUGUUCGACUAAAGAUAAAUGGGAAAGUUCUGCAGGGACAUUUCCGGGGUCCAUAUUGUUUUGUUUAGAGAACAUUUUAAUGUCAGAUUUGUCAAUGUGACAACGAUGACAAACUGUAUUACUGUACAUUUUCAUUUCAAUUCUACAUUCGUUACAUGUGGUACAAUUCUUAAACAUGUAAGACAUUUGCUUUAACUCAAAUGCACGUAUGGUAUCCAUUGUAAUAUUAUGCUGCACACUAAGAGACAUUGGUGGUGCAGGUGGUAUUUCAUUAAAAUUUAAUGACAGGUUUUUUAAUGCUGCAGACAAGGCAUAGGCAUUUUUCUUAAUCCGUCUUGUUCUUUGUAGUUUAUCUUCAUUUUGAAUAGGAUGAACAAAUUUUAUACCCAAUUUCCUACAAUUCUGAAAUGUGUCCAAUUCAUAAGGAUUAAGAAAAUCUGUGCAAAUUUGUUCAUGCGCUUGUUUAAAUACUUUUGUAGAAUUUGUGUUUUUUUGUGGGCUCUUUAAUUUUUGGUUUACCUUAGUGGUUGACUGCUUUGUAACACCUUUUGACGCUAAAGCACUUUUGUUGGAUUUUUUAAUUGUUUUGUUCUGUUGUUUUGUAUUUUUGUGCACUAUUAUAAUUGUUGAUGGAGGAUUUGUUUGUGUGUUUGUGUGUGGGGGUUUAUUAUGUGAGAAAAUAGUAUUUUCAUUCAACUGUCUGUUGUUGCAUGUGUUUGAAGUGUUUUUCCUCUCUGAAAGUAGUGUAAAGUGACUGUUCCACAGCAGAAGAGUCACACUAAGAUCAGAGUUAUGGUGUGAAUAGUGUGAAUGUCUUGUGUAUACAACUGAUGUUUGUCGUGUUUCAGAAUUACAUAUGCUGCCUUUUAACCAUAUUUCUAUGUUUAUUGGUAAUAUAUCACAUGCUGCCUUAAUUUCACUUAUCGUUGCCCAACCACAUCUUGUAAUCAUUUUUAAGCGGUAUUCUUCCAUUGAUUGAUUUACUAAUUCAUGCCCACAAAUGGCUGACUGCUGCCAUGAAAUCCAGUUUUCAAGUACAUGUGUGCAAAUCAUGUUUCUAUAAUAAGUGCUCAUUGAUGUAUUACCAUGUAAUGCUAAACUGAUACAGCUAAAGAAACAAUUUCCAUCACCCGGCACAUUAAAGUUGUUGAAAACCUUACCUUCUAUAAACAAUGAAUUUGCUGGCAUUUGCAAGGAAUCUAAAUUGUACAGUUGAACCGGAGAAUGUGUGGGGUUUAUAUUUUUGCUUGAAACAUUACAUGUGGCACUAGUAUCUCUGUUGUUUGGCCUUCUUUUAGUGAGAUUAUUAUUUAAAGAUAUUGCUUUAUUGGCAACUGUUGAUUUAUUUAUUUUCAUAUGUGGGGGUGUUUGGUUCAAAUGCUUGUUUUUCCCAGUCACGUUUGUUACUAUAGGUUGCUUACUGGUAUUUGUUACACAGCUAGUUACAAUUCCUGUUUGACUAGCAUUUGUCUGGUGAAGUGAAACACAUUUGUCCAUUUUCGUAGUUUUUGCUUUGGAAUGACAUGUAAUCGUCCGAGUGGCUUUAGCGUAAGUAGGUUUUUUGAGAUUUUUUGUAUUUGAACCCGUUUCUUUUGAUCUCAAGCUAUUUGUACUGUAUGGUUGCAUGCAGUUUUUAAGUUCAGUACUUGUGACGUUUAAAUAAUGGUCUUCUUGUAUGGAAGUAGUGUUGAAGUGAACCGGAGUUUGAUCUAUCGGAUUAUAAUAGGAAUGAUCGUGUGAAACACAAAUAUAAUUAUUUUGUGUAUAGGAAUGGUCAUGUGAAAGACCAAUAUAAUUGUGUGUAUUAUUGUUAUUAGCAUUAUUUAAAUUGCUAACUGUUACUUCGGCGUAAGUACGUUUUCUGGAGUUUGCUUUUGCUUCUGAUGUUGAGCUCGAGAUAUUUUCAAUAUUUGCAUGCUCAAUGCAGUAAUUAUGGUCAGUUAGACUUGUAAAAGACAUGUUUAUGAUAUGAAAUGAAUUACUUUCUGAGCCAAAAAUAAAGCCUUAUUCAAUUAAAUAUUGGAAGUAUCAAAGUAAUGCUAAUUUGUCAUUGGUAUAAGGCAUUGGAAUAAGUCUUGUAUGCAAAAUGUAAGCUUACUUAGAAAUAAUGAAGCCUUAAAUCAAUAAAAAGUUGGAAAUCCCA